UGGGGAAUAUUGGACAAUGGGCGAAAGCCUGAUCCAGCAAUGCCGCGUGAGUGAUGAAGGCCUUAGGGUUGUAAAGCUCUUUUACCAGGGAUGAUAAUGACAGUACCUGGAGAAUAAGCUCCGGCUAACUCCGUGCC
rnacentral:rRNA from 1 species